rnacentral:rRNA from 1 species
GCAGAACGCGAAGAACCUUACCAAGGCUUGACAUGCAUCUCUAAGCGCGUGAAAGCGCGUGACCCUUCGGGGGAUUUGCACAGGUGCUGCAUGGCCGUCGUCAGCUCGUGUCGUGAGAUGUUGGGUUAAGUCCCGCAACGAGCGCAACCCUUGUGAUUAGUUGCCAGCACGUCAAGGUGGGAACUCUAGUCAGACUGCCCAGAUCAACUGGGAGGAAGGUGGGGACGACGUCAGGUCAGUAUGGCCCUUACGCCUUGGGCUGCACACGUACUACAAUGCCCAGCACAAUGAGAACCGAGACCGCGAGGUGGAGGAAAUCUGCAAAAACUGGGCUCAGUUCGGAUUGGAGGCUGCAACUCGCCUCCAUGAAGUUGGAAUCGCUAGUAAUGGGGCAUCAUCUACGGCCCCGUGAAUAACGUUCCCGGGUCGUUUACACACCG